UACGGGGGGGGUAAGCGUUGUUCGGAAUUACUGGGCGUAAAGGGCUCGUAGGCGGCCAACUAAGUCAGACGUGAAAUCCCUCAGCUUAACUGGGGAACUGCGUCUGAUACUGGAUGGCUUGGAUUCGGGAGAGGAAUGCGGAAUUCCGGGUGUAGCGGUGAAAUGCGUAGAUAUCUGGAGGAACACCGGUGGCGAAGGCGGCAUUCUGGACCGAUAUUGACGCUGAGACGCGAAAGCGUGGGGAGCAAACAGG
rnacentral:rRNA from 1 species